rnacentral:rRNA from 1 species
AGAUUGAACGCUGGCGGCAGGCCUAACACAUGCAAGUCGAGCGGUAGAGAGGUGCUUGCACCUCUUGAGAGCGGCGGACGGGUGAGUAAUGCCUAGGAAUCUGCCUAGUGGUGGGGGAUAACGUUCGGAAACGGACGCUAAUACCGCAUACGUCCUACGGGAGAAAGCGGGGGACCUUCGGGCCUCGCGCCAUUAGAUGAGCCUAGGUCGGAUUAGCUAGUUGGUGAGGUAAUGGCUCACCAAGGCGACGAUCCGUAACUGGUCUGAGAGGAUGAUCAGUCACACUGGAACUGAGACACGGUCCAGACUCGUACGGGAGCAGCAGUGGGAAUAUGGACAAGU